GACGAACCGAGCGAACGUUGUUCGGAAUCACUGGGCUUAAAGGGCGCGUAGGCGGGUGCUCAAGUCCGGGGUGAAAUCCUCCAGCUCAACUGGAGAACUGCCUCGGAUACUGGGUGCCUCGAGGGUGGCAGGGGUAUGCGGAACUAUCGGUGGAGCGGUGAAAUGCGUUGAUAUCGAUAGGAACUCCGGUGGCGAAGGCGGCAUACUGGUCCGAUACUGACGCUGAGGCGCGAAAGCGUGGGGAGCAAACAGG
rnacentral:rRNA from 1 species